UACGUAGGGUGCCAGCGUUGUCCGGAAUCAUUGGGCGUAAAGCGCGCGUAGGCGGCCAGAUAAGUCCGGUGUGAAAGUCAAAGGCUCAACCUUUGAAUGCCGCUGGAAACUGUCUGGCUAGAGUCCGGGAGGGGCGAGUGGAAUUCCUGGUGUAGCGGUGGAAUGCGCAGAUAUCAGGAGGAACACCGGUGGCGAAGGCGGGAUCCUGGGCCAGUACUGACGCUGAGGAGCGAAAGCGUGGGGAGCAAACAGG
rnacentral:rRNA from 1 species